rnacentral:rRNA from 1 species
AUGGCGGCCACGAGCUCCGCGGCGCUCUUCUCCGUCCUCCCCCUCCCCACAGCCUCCCCGGCCUACGCCAGGGCAGGCAGCAGCCAUUACAGGCCCACGCGCUCCACCGCGGCCUUGUCCCCCAUCAGAUGCUCUGCCGCCUCGCCCGACCUUUCGCCCGGCGCACCGGCGCCGGCGCCGCCCAAGCCCCAAAUCGAGCUCGAGUUCCUCGGGCCGAAGCCGGGCGCCGACGGGUCGUACCCGGUGGACAGGGCGGCGGCGGUCAGCGGCGACAAGCUCCUCCGGGACGUCAUGGUCGAGAACAAGAUCGAGCUCUACGCGGCAUACGGGAAGCUGAUGAACUGCGGCGGCGGCGGCAGCUGCGGCACCUGCAUCGUCGAGAUUAUCGACGGGAAGGAGCUCCUGAGCCCAAGGACAGACGCCGAGAAUCGUUACCUGAAGAAGAAACCGGAGUCAUGGAGGCUUACCUGCCAGACGAUCGUCGGGAACAAGGAGAACUCCGGCAAGGUCGUCGUCCAACGGCUGCCCCAGUGGAAGAAAUGA